GGUCAAGUGAAUAAGUGCAUCAGGCGGAUGCCUUGGCGAUGAUAGGCGACGAAGGACGUGUAAGCCUGCAAAAAGCGCGGGGGAGCUGGCAAUAAAGCUAUGAUUCCGCGAUGUCCGAAUGGGGAAACCCACUGCAUUCUGUGCAGCAUCCUAAGUUGAAUACAUAGGCUUAGAGAAGCGAACCGAAGAACUGAACCAUCUAAGUACCCGGAAAAAAGAAAUCAACGAGAUUCCGCAAGUAGUGGCGAGCGAACGUGGGAGAGCCUGUACGUAAUAACUGUCGAGAGAUAGAAGAACAAGCUGGGAAGCUUGACCAUAGCGGGUGACAGUCCCGUAUUCGAAAUCUCAACAGCGGUACUAAGCGUACAAAAAAGUAGGGCGGGACACGUGAAAUCCUGUCUGAAUAUGGGGGGGAUCCUCCAAGGCUAAAUACUCAUCAUCGACCGAUAGUGAACCAGUACCGUGAGGGAAAGGCGAAAAGAACCCCGGGAGGGGAGUGAAACAGAACCUGAAACCUGAUGCAUACAAACAGUGGGAAGCGCCCUAGUGGUGUGACUGCGUACCCUUUUAUAAUGGGUCAACGACUUACAUUCAGUAGCGAGCUUAACCGGAUAGGGAGGCGUAGGAAACCGAGUCUUAAUAGGGGCGAUGAGUUGCUGGGGUAGACCCGAAACCGAGUGAUCUAUCCAUGGUCAGGUUGAAGGUGCCGUAACAGGUACUGGAGACCGAACCCACGCAUGUUGCAAAAUGCGGGGAUGAGCUGGGUAGGGGUGAAAGGCUAAACAAACUCGGAGAUAGCUGGUUCUCCCAAAAACUAUUUAGUAGUGCCUCGAGCAAGACACUGAUGGGGGUAAAGCACUGUUAUGGCUAGGGGGUUAUUGCAACUUACCAACCCAUGGCAAACUCAGAAUACCAUCAAGUGGCUUCCUCGAAGAGACAGACAGCGGGUGCUAAUGUCCGUUGUCAAGAGGGAAACAACCCAGACCGCCGGCUAAGGUGCCCCAAAUGAUAGAUUAAGUGGUAAACGAAGUGGGAAGGCACAGACAGCCAGGAUGUUGGCUUAGAAGCAGCCAUCAUUUAAAGAAAGCGUAAUAGCUCACUGGUCGAGUCGUCCUGCGCGGAAGAUGUAACGGGCUCAAAUCUAUAACCGAAGCUGCGGAUGCCGGUUUACCGGCAUGGUAGGGGAGCGUUCUGUAGGCUGAUGAAGGUGCAUUGUAAAGUGUGCUGGAGGUAUCAGAAGUGCGAAUGUUGACAUGAGUAGCGAUAAAGCGGGUGAAAAAGCCCGCUCGCGAAAGCCCAAGGUUUCCUACGCAACGUUCAUCGCGCGUAGGUGAGCCGCCGCAAGGCGAGGCAGAAAUGCGUAGUCGAUGGGAAACAGGUUAAUAUUCCUGUACUUGAUUCAAAUGCGAUGUGGGGACGGAGAAGGUUAGGUUGGCAAGCUGUUGGAACAGCUUGUUUAAGCCGGUAGGUGGAAGACUUAGGCAAAUCCGGGUUUUCUUAACACCGAGAAGUGAUGACGAGUGUCUACGGACACGAAGCAACCGAUACCACGCUUCCAGGAAAAGCCACUAAGCUUCAGUUGAAUCGAACCGUACCGCAAACCGACACAGGUGGGCAGGAUGAGAAUUCUAAGGUUGCCUUAAAAGAACUCGAGAAGGAACUCGGCAAAUUGAUACCGUAACUUCGGGAGAAGGUAUGCCCUCUAAGGUUAAGGACUUGCUCGUAAGCCCCGGAGAAGGUCGCAGAGAAUAGGUGGCUGCGACUGUUUAUUAAAAACACAGCACUCUGCCAACACGAAAGUGGACGUAUAGGUGUGACGCCUGCCCGGUGCCGGAAGGUUAAUUGAAGAUAUGCAAGCAUCGGAUCGAAGCCCCGGUAAACGGCGGGCAUAACUAUAACGGUCCUAAGGUAGCGAAAUUCCUUGUCGGGUAAGUUCCGACCCGCACGAAUGGCGUAACGAUGGCCAUACUGUCUCCUCCCGAGACUCAGCGAAGUUGAAGUGGUUGUGAAGAUGCAAUCUACCCGCUGCUAGACGGAAAGACCCCGUGAACCUUUACUGUAGCUUUGCAUUGGACUUUGAAGUCACUUGUGUAGGAUGGGUGGGAGGCUUGGAAGCAGAGACGCCAGUCUCUGUGGAGUCGUCCUUGAAAUACCACCCUGGUGUCUUUGAGGUUCUAACCCAGACCCGUCAUCCGGGUCGGGCCCGUGCAUGGUAGGCAGUUUGACUGGGGCGGUCUCCUCCCAAAGCGUAACGGAGGAGUUCGAAGGUUACCUGAGGUCCGGUCGGAAAUCGGACUGAUAGUGCAAUGGCAAAAGGUAGCUUAACUGCGAGACCGACAAGUCGGGCAGGUGCGAAAGCAGGACAUAGUGAUCCGGUGGUUCUGUAUGGAAAGGCCAUCGCUCAACGGAUAAAAGUACUCCGGGAUAACAGGCUGAUUCCGCCCAAGAGUUCAUAUCGACGGCGGAGUUUGGCACCUCAAUAUCGGCUCAUCACAUCCUGGGGCUGUAUCGGCCCCAAGGUAUGGCUGUUCGCCAUUUAAAGUGGUACGUGAGCUGGGUUUAAAACGUCGUGAGACAGUUUGGCCCCCAUCUGCAGUGGGCGUUGGAAGUUUGACGGGGGCUGCUCCUAGUACGAGAGGACCGGAGUGGACGAACCUCUGGUGUACCGGUUGUAACGCCAGUUGCAUAGCCGGGUAGCUAAGUUCGGAAGAGAUAACGCUGAAAGCAUCUAAGCGCGAAACUCGCCUGAAGAUGAGACUUCCCUUGCGGUUUAACCGCACUAAAGGUCGUUCGAGACCAGGACGUUGAUAGGUGGGGGUGUGGAAGCGCGGUAACGCGUGAAGCUAACCCAUACUAAUUGCCCGUGAGGCUUGACUCU
rnacentral:rRNA from 1 species